GACUGCGGAAGGAUCCAUU
rnacentral:rRNA from 1 species